GUAGUCUAGCGGUUAGAACGCUGGCCUUGUAAUCCUGGGGUCUCGGGUUCGAUUCCCGGC
rfam:Zootermopsis nevadensis contig28326, whole genome shotgun sequence.